rnacentral:rRNA from 1 species
AUACGGAGGGUGCAAGCGUUACUCGGAAUCACUGGGCGUAAAGCGCGCGCAGGCGGGCUGAUAAGUUGGAUGUGAAAGCCUACGGCUCAACCGUAGAACUGCAUCCUAAACUGUCAGUCUAGAGUCUGGGAGGGGAAGAUGGAAUUAGUUGUGUAGGGGUAAAAUCCGUAGAGAUAACUAGGAAUACCAAAAGCGAAGGCGAUCUUCUGGAACAGUACUGACGCUGAGGCGCGAAAGCGUGGGGAGCAAACAGGAUUAGAAACCCCAGUAGUCC